rfam:Clostridium tetani E88, complete genome.
CUCUAUAAUAAAUUAUUGACUCAUAUAUCCCCUUAAUAAGGUAGGGAGUAUCUACCAGAAGCCUUAAACUUCUGACUAUGAGUGAAUAAAGCAUUGUC